rnacentral:rRNA from 1 species
CAACUCCAUGUGGUGGAUCACUCGGCUCACGUGUCGAUGAAAAUUGCUGCCAACUGUGUGAAACAAUGUGAAACGCAGACUGCUUCGAUCAUCGGUACAUUGAACGCAUAAUGCGGCUUUGGGCUUGCCCUUAGCCACGUUCGAUCGAGUGUCGGC